rnacentral:rRNA from 1 species
UACGAAGGGUGCAAACGUUGCUCGGAAUUAUUGGGCGUAAAGCGCACGUAGGCGGCUUAGCAAGUCGGAUGUGAAAUCCCUCGGCUCAACCAAGGAAGUGCAUCCGAAACUGCUGAGCUUGAGUACGAAAGAGGAUCGCGGAAUUCCCGGUGUAGAGGUGAAAUUCGUAGAUAUCGGGAGGAACACCAGUGGCGAAGGCGGCUUCCUGGACCGACACUGACGCUGAGGCGCGAAAGCUAGGGGAGCAAACGGG